AGAUAUGUCAUUAUAAUGCCUCUGCAAUAAUAGAACCGUCUGGAAUAUCUCUCUUUGGUUAGACGGCGUGGACAGCAGAGACAGAUUAAAUCUUUGGAAUUGGCUUUUGACUCUCUUCUUCUACCGAUUAUAUGGGAUUUUCCUCCGUUCCCAUACGAUCUGUCAUCAGUCUUUCAAACAAUC
rnacentral:snoRNA from 1 species